UACGUAGGGGGCAAGCGUUGUCCGGAUUUAUUGGGCGUAAAGAGCGUGUAGGCGGCUAGGUAGGUCCGUUGUGAAAACUCGAGGCUCAACCUCGAGACGCCGAUGGAAACCAUCUGGCUAGAGUCCGGAAGAGGAGAGUGGAAUUCCUGGUGUAGCGGUGAAAUGCGUAGAUAUAUGGAGGAACACCGGUGGCGAAAGCGGCUCUCUGGCCUGUAACUGACACUGAGGCUCGAAAGCGUGGGGAGCAAACAGG
rnacentral:rRNA from 1 species